GACGAACGCUGGCGGCGUGCUUAACACAUGCAAGUCGAGCGGAAAGGCCACUUCGGUGGUACUCGAGCGGCGAACGGGUGAGUAACACGUGAGUAAUCUGCCCCUGGCUUUGGGAUAGCCACCGGAAACGGUGAUUAAUACCGGAUACGACCACUUCUCGCAUGGGAUGGUGGUGGAAAGUUUUUUCGGCCAGGGAUGUGCUCGCGGCCUAUCAGCUUGAUGGUGGGGUAAUGGCUCACCAUGGCUUCGACGGGUAGCCGGCCUGGGAGGGUGACCGGUCACACUGGGACUGAGACACGGCCCAGUCUCCUACGGGAGGCAGCAGUGGGAAAUAUUGGACAAUGGGCGGAAGCCUGAUCCAGCAACGCCGCGUGAGGGAUGACGGCCUUCGGGUUGUAAACCUCUUUCAGCAGGGACGAAGCGCAAGUGACGGUACCUGCAGAAGAAGCACCGGCCAACUACGUGCCAGCCGCCGCAGUAA
rnacentral:rRNA from 1 species